rnacentral:rRNA from 1 species
UAGACCCGAAACCCGGUGAUCUAGCCAUGGGCAGGUUGAAGGUUGGGUAACACUAACUGGAGGACCGAACCGACUAAUGUUGAAAAAUUAGCGGAUGACCUGUGGCUGGGGGUGAAAGGCCAAUCAAACCGGGAGAUAGCUGGUUCUCCCCGAAAGCUAUUUAGGUAGCGCCUCGUGAAUUCAUCUCCGGGGGUAGAGCACUGUUUCGGCUAGGGGGCCAUCCCGGCUUACCAACCCGAUGCAAACUGCGAAUACCGGAGAAUGUUAUCACGGGAGACACACGGCGGGUGCUAACGUCCGUCGUGAAGAGGGAAACAACCCAGACCGCCAGCUAAGGUCCCAAAGUCAUGGUUAAGUGGGAAACGAUGUGGGAAGGCCCAGACAGCCAGGAUGUUGGCUUAGAAGCAGCCAUCAUUUAAAGAAAGCGUAAUAGCUCACUGGUCGAGUCGGCCUGCGCGGAAGAUGUAACGGGGCUAAACCAUGCACCGAAGCUGCGGCAGCGACACUGUGUGUUGUUGGGUAGGGGAGCGUUCUGUAAGCCUGUGAAGGUGGCCUGUGAGGGUUGCUGGAGGUAUCAGAAGUGCGAAUGCUGACAUAAGUAACGAUAAAGCGGGUGAAAAGCCCGCUCGCCGGAAGACCAAGGGUUCCUGUCCAACGUUAAUCGGGGCAGGGUGAGUCGACCCCUAAGGCGAGGCCGAAAGGCGUAGUCGAUGGGAAACGGGUUAAUAUUCCCGUACUUGGUGUUACUGCGAAGGGGGGACGGAGAAGGCUAUGUUGGCCGGGCGACGGUUGUCCCGGUUUAAGCGUGUAGGUGUGUGUUCCAGGUAAAUCCGGUUCACUUUAACACUGAGGCGUGAUGACGAGGCACUACGGUGCUGAAGCAACAAAUGCCCUGCUUCCAGGAAAAGCCUCUAAGCAUCAGGUAACAUCAAAUCGUACCCCAAACCGACACAGGUGGUCAGGUAGAGAAUACCAAGGCGCUUGAGAGAACUCGGGUGAAGGAACUAGGCAAAAUGGUGCCGUAACUUCGGGAGAAGGCACGCUGACAC